UACGUAGGGUGCGAGCGUUAAUCGGAAUUACUGGGCGUAAAGCGUGCGCAGGCGGUUUUGUAAGCCAGGUGUGAAAUCCCCGGGCUCAACCUGGGAAUGGCAUUUGGGACUGCAAGGCUGGAGUGCGGCAGAGGAGACUGGAAUUGCUGGUGUAGCAGUGAAAUGCGUAGAUAUCAGGAGGAAUACCGAUGGCGAAGGCAGGUCUCUGGGCUGACACUGACGCUCAUGCACGAAAGCGUGGGGAGCAAACAGG
rnacentral:rRNA from 1 species